GUAGGGUGCGAGCGUUAUCCGGAAUCAUUGGGCGUAAAGAGCUCGUAGGCGGUUCAGCAAGUCGGCUGUGAAAUUCCGAGGCUCAACCUCGGAACUGCAGUCGAUACUGCUGUGACUCGAGUCCGGUAGAGGAGAAUGGAAUUCCCGGUGUAGCGGUGAAAUGCGCAGAUAUCGGGAGGAACACCAGUAGCGAAGGCGGUUCUCUGGGCCGGCACUGACGCUGAGGAGCGAAAGCGUGGGGUAGCAAACAGGAUUAGAUACCCUGGUAGUCCACGCCCGUAAACGUUGGAUACUAGGUGUGGGGUUCCGACCAACGGUCCCCGUGCCGAAGCUAACGCAUUAAGUAUCCCCGCCUGGGGAGUACGGCCGCAAGGCUA
rnacentral:rRNA from 1 species